UACGUAGGGGGCAAGCGUUGUCCGGAUUUAUUGGGCGUAAAGAGCGUGUAGGCGGCCAGACAGGUCAGCUGUGAAAACUCGAGGCUCAACCUCGAGAUGUCGGUUGAAACCGUCUGGCUAGAGUCCGGAAGAGGAGAGUGGAAUUCCUGGUGUAGCGGUGAAAUGCGCAGAUAUCGGGAAGAACACCCGUGGCGAAGGCGGUUCUCUGGGACGGUACUGACGCUGAGACGCGAAAGCGUGGGGAGCGAACAGG
rnacentral:rRNA from 1 species